rnacentral:rRNA from 1 species
UACGUAGGGGGCGAGCGUUGUCCGGAUUUACUGGGCGUAAAGCGCGCGUAGGCGGAAGCGUAAGUGUGGCCUGAAAGCCCCCGGCUCAACCGGGGAGGGUGGCUGCAAACUGCGCUUCUUGAGGGCGAUAGAGGAGUGUGGAAUUCCUGGUGUAGCGGUGAAAUGCGUAGAGAUCAGGAGGAACACCUGCGGCGAAGGCGGGUUGCUGGGCUGACACUGACGCUGAGGCGCGAAAGCUAGGGGAGCGAACGGG